rnacentral:misc_RNA from 1 species
AAGUCGUAACAAGGUCUCCGUUGGUGAACCAGCGGAGGGAUCAUUAUAGAGUUUUCUAAACUCCCAACCCAUAUGAAUUUACCAUUGUUGCCUCGGCAGAAGCUACCUGGUUACCCUACCUUGGAACGGCCUACCCUGUAGCGCCUUACCCUGGAACGGCCUACCCUGUAACGGCUGCCGGUGGACUACCAAACUCUUGUUAUUUUAUUGUAAUCUGAGCGUCUUAUUUUAAUAAGUCAAAA